rnacentral:rRNA from 1 species
CCGUAGUAAGCUCUUGAAACUGGGAGACUUGAGUGCAGGAGAGGAGAGUGGAAUUCCUAGUGUAGCGGUGAAAUGCGUAGAUAUUAGGAGGAACACCAGUUGCGAAGGCGGCUCUCUGGACUGUAACUGACGCGGAGGCACGAAAGCGUGGGGAGCAAACAGGAUUAGAUACCCUGGUAGUCCACGCUGUAAACGAUGAGUACUAGGUGUCGGGGGUUACCCCC